rnacentral:rRNA from 1 species
CCUACGGGGGGCUGCAGUGGGGAAUAUUGGACAAUGGGGGCAACCCUGAUCCAGCCAUGCCGCGUGUGUGAAGAAGGCCCUCGGGUUGUAAAGCACUUUCAGUGGGGAAGAACGCCUGGUGGUUAAUACCCAUCAGGAAAGACAUCACUCACAGAAGAAGCACCGGCUAACUCCGUGCCAGCAGCCGCGGUAAUACGGAGGGUGCGAGCGUUAAUCGGAAUUACUGGGCGUAAAGCGCGCGUAGGUGGCUUGAUAAGCCGGUUGUGAAAGCCCCGGGCUCAACCUGGGAACGGCAUCCGGAACUGUCCAGCUAGAGUGCAGGAGAGGAAGGUGGAAUUCCCGGUGUAGCGGUGAAAUGCGUAGAGAUCGGGAGGAAUACCAGUGGCGAAGGCGGCCUUCUGGACUGACACUGACGCUGAGGUGCGAAAGCGUGGGGAGCAAACAGGAUUAGAUACCCCGGUAGUC